rnacentral:rRNA from 1 species
GACGAACGCUGGCGGCGUGCCUAAUACAUGCAAGUUGAGCGCUGAAGGUUGGUACUUGUACCGACUGGAUGAGCAGCGAACGGGUGAGUAACGCGUGGGGAAUCUGCCUUUGAGCGGGGGACAACAUUUGGAAACGAAUGCUAAUACCGCAUAAAAACUUUAAACACAAGUUUUAAGUUUGAAAGAUGCAAUUGCAUCACUCAAAGAUGAUCCCGGGUUGUAUUAGCUAGUUGGUGAGGUAAAGGCUCACCAAGGCGAUGAUACAUAGCCGACCGGAGAGGGUGAUCGGCCACAUUGGGACUGAGAACCGGCCCAAACUCCUACGGGAGGCAGCAGUAGGGAAUCUUCGGCAAUGGACGAAAGUCUGACCGAGCAACGCCGCGUGAGUGAAGAAGGUUUUCGGAUCGUAAAACUCUGUUGGUAGAGAAGAACGUUGGUGAGAGUGGAAAGCUCAUCAAGUGACGGUAACUACCCAGAAAGGGACGGCUAACUACGUGCCAGCAGCCGCCGUAA